GGCUGUUCGCCAAUUAAAGCGGUACGUGAGCUGGGUUUAGAACGUCGUGAGACAGUUCGGUCCCUAUCUGAUGCGGGCGCAGGAUAUUUGAGAGGAGCUGUCCCUAGUACGAGAGGACCGGGAUGGACGAACCUCCAGUGUACCAGUUGUCUCGCCAGAGGCACACGCUGGGUAGCUGUGUUCGUAAGGGAUAAGCGCUGAAAGCAUCUAAGCGCCAAGCCCACCUCAAGAUUAGAUAUCCCUCCCGAUCCUUCGGGAUCGGGACUUAAGGCUCCCGGUAGAUAACCGGGUUGAUAGGUCGCAGAUGUAAGUCCAGUAAUGGAUUCAGUCGAGCGAUACUAAUCAGCCGUGCGACUUGAUCUG
rnacentral:ncRNA from 1 species